rnacentral:rRNA from 1 species
GGCGAUUUCCGAAUGGGGAAACCCAGUGUGAUUCGUCACACUAUCAUUAACUGAAUCCAUAGGUUAAUGAGGCGAACCGGGGGAACUGAAACAUCUAAGUACCCCGAGGAAAAGAAAUCAACCGAGAUUCCCCCAGUAGCGGCGAGCGAACGGGGAGCAGCCCAGAGCCUGAAUCAGUGUGUGUGUUAGUGGAAGCGUCUGGAAAGGCGCGCGAUACAGGGUGACAGCCCCGUACACAAAAAUGCACAUGCUGUGAGCUCGAUGAGUAGGGCGGGACACGUGGUAUCCUGUCUGAAUAUGGGGGGACCAUCCUCCAAGGCUAAAUACUCCUGACUGACCGAUAGUGAACCAGUACCGUGAGGGAAAGGCGAAAAGAACCCCGGCGAGGGGAGUGAAAAAGAACCUGAAACCGU